UCCUCCGAGACUGGCUCAUCUCCCGCCCCUCCCUGCGUUUGAUCACCAGCAGGUCGGAGAAACGGCGGGUGGGGGACCUGGACCCAGUGCUGGAGGACUUCUUGGGCCUGGGGGUUGGGAACAGGACGAGUCCUCCCAGGAGUGGGAUGACUCUUCCUUGACCGAUGGGCAGGGUGAAGGCCACGCUUCCAGGGGUGGGCUCUCGACUUUGAUGGGCCUCCCUAGAUGUGGUGUCUCCUCCCCAGGCUGGACGUCUUCCUCCUUGAUGGAUGGGACAGGAAGCAGAGGAGAGAGUCCUUCCACGAGGAGUAGCUUCUCCUCUGUCACCUGUCCUGCCGUGGGCAGAGAGGCCACCCCCUCAUCCGCUAGCAGCACCUUGGGGGCGAUGCAGACUCGCUUGCUGUGGCGGGCAAGCUCUGAGAGUGAGGCCACCAGGGGCAAGGGCACCUUGACUGAGGGCUGCAGCACCAGUGACGGGUUCGCGGGGAACUGGAUGGGCACCAGGUACGAGCUGACCCGUAGCAGUAGUGGCUUCAUCUUCCGCCGUGCACCCAGGGGGAGUUCGGUUUUGAUGGCCACGUUCCGGCGGAGAUCAGGGUUGGGCCGUUUCUGCUGCUUAAAUACCUGGUCAAGUGUCAGGUAGCGAUUGGCACUGGGGUGAAUGGUCCAGAAGGAGACCUUGCCGUUGGCAGACGUCUCACAGACAAACAUGUCAUGUAGAGAGAAGUUGUGGCGGAUGGAGUUCUUCCAGCCUGGCUUGGCGAUGUGCUUGAAAUAGGGGAAGUGGUCCUUGAUCCAAGAGUAGAUGUCUUUCAGGGUCAUGCGCUUCCUCUCUGUGCUGUUGAUGGUGAAUUGUAUCAUGGCCAUGUAGGAGUAUGGGGGUCGUUCAGACACGGAGUCCGGCCAGGGUGCCGACGCUCCAGGGGGCCUCUCCACCUGAGGGCUCUUGGCCUGACUCUGCUCCAGGUGAAGAUUCUCCUUUUCUUCCACCUCUUGCUUGAUGCUGCAGGAGCCCAGCCCGUCGGAAGUCAUCUUUCCAAGCCACUGGAUGUUGGUCAAGCUGUUGUCCAGGGGGCAGCUGGCUGCCUCACCGCCAGCACAGUUCUUCCAUCUCUGCCCAGGAAGGGCUCCCGCUGGUCUUAGAAGAUUCUCAUCCCCAGUUGCAGACUUUGGUCCCAGGGUGAUCACUUCUGUCCUCUUGGGGUCCUUGCUGGUUUGGGCUUGACGCUGGGGUCCUGGAGGGGGAGUGGGGGCUCCCCCACAGCUGAUGAGGAUGAACUUGUUAGGCCCACUGCUGCCACUCUCCUUCCCUUUGGCGGUCAGUGCUGUGAUGAUGCUCUGGAUGUUGGCAUUGUUGGGGACGACCACCACUUGGGUGUUGGGCAUGGUUGGGUGGUUCAGGAUCUUGAUUCCGGCUGGAAACUUGCAGGGGUGGGGCUCUGCCACCUCCUUGGGGGCUUGUGCUUGAGCAGGCUCUUGUUGGGCAGGGGGCCCCUUCGGCUCCUCCUCUGCUGUGUCACCUGGAGCAUUUUGAACAGGAAGGGGCAGCCUCUGUCUUUUGAGAAUCAAUGGCCUACGGGGGCUAGUUUUCAUCAUGAAUCUGUGCUUUCACUCUCCAUUGAGCAUCACAAGCGUGGACCCAC
ensembl:lncRNA